rnacentral:lncRNA from 1 species
AGGAAUCAAGAAGUGGUAGUAGAUAGGCUCACCGUUGAUAUAACCUAUCUCCUUCAUCAUAUCGUCUAACUCAUGUACGGAAAACACGUCCAUGUCUACGUAGUCAACAUAGUCAAUACUCCCACCAACGUAACGUCUUCCUGGGUAUUUUGUGAACAUACCCCCAUGGUGAAUCUUGAAUGUGCAAAAACUACUUAACUCAACUGAAAAACAAAUAAAUAAUGAUAUGAGGAAAGAAUGAAGUCUCAAAAUUGAAUGUGCAUAAAUUACUUAACAAAAUUGAAAGUUGUUAACUGAUCACUCACCAUAAGCUUUGAUCAGGUCAGGAUUUUCUGAGAAUUUUGAACGGACAUUCCACAAAGUUAGAACGAUCGCAAAAGAUGAAAAUGAAAACCCUAGUUUCCGUUUGAUGUUUUGAAGUGAUGAAGAUGAAAAACCAGAGGAGAAAAGAAAGGGAUGAUUUCUUGGGGUAAUGUAAAUGGCAGCUAGAUGUAAGGAUCAUUUAUGAAUAUGAUCAUUUCGUGUAACAAAGCAAAAGACCAAAAUACCCUCGUGUGAGGGUCACGUGAUUUAGAUAAACGGAAACAAUUAAACGGAGUAUGUCAUAAGGACUAUUCGUGCAACAAUUUGGAACCAUAGGGACCAUACUCGUCCAAAAUUCCUCAUAAGGACUAUCUUUGGUCUCUUGUGCCAACCACAGGGACCAUCUGUGUAAUUUUGUCUUUUUUUAAAGAUAGUUCAUAAUUUUUCUAUUAUAUACAUUGUAAAUGAAAUUGAGAACUUAAGUAGGUCCUAGGACCUACCUAAGCACAUGGUGGAUACGCCCCUGUUACCCACACUAACCUCAUACACUUACAACACAAAUGAACUUGAACGGUCUAAGACCAAACCAAGAUAUAAUAUGAAAUGUGUAAGUAUAGUUUAAUAGAUGAAAGUGAGGUGUUGUUUGGGCUUGAAAAGUAGGGGUGAGCAUGGUGCGAUUUUUUGAGAAAACCGAACCGCAAACCGCAAGAUGCGGUUUCUAUAGGGUAAAACCGAUAGGUGUGGUUUUUGUUUCGGCGUGGUUUUACAUGCAUUUUCGGUGUCAUUCGAUGCGGUUUCGGUUUUUAACUGAAAAUAUGUGUUGGUGUGAUUUUUCAUACAUGUGUUGAUCUACCAAAGAAGUAAUAACCCCUAAAGAAGCUAGAGCAAGGCCUAAUUGAAAAUGAAGCCAAUUAUUAAUUGUGUCAUAAAGACCCUCAUGCCCACGUCUCAAUCGCCCUCUUGGAGGGAUAUGUGCAUCUAAAAGAUCUUUCAUACUGUGCCCAAUCCCAAAAUUAGUUCUAUACAUAUGCCCAACAAUAAGAAAAAGAAAUGCAAUAGCUAAAUAAUGAUGAGUCAUAUCAGCAUGUCCAAACCCGACUUUUCAGUUAACUUUCCUUUAUUUCCGGUACAGAUUCUCAUUUAAAUGUAUUUAACAUGCUUGUGAAAUAGUUAUAUGUUAUUCUUAUCAAAAUAUAGACUUCUUUAUGAUAUUACGAUUUUGAGAUUUGAAUUAUAUGUUUGAUGCAACAAGGGAUUUGGUUUUAUAAUCUCAAAUUCCAUUACUUAAUCAUUAUUGUUUAUACAGAUAGAGGCGGCUUUUGAUUCGAAUUGCAUUUUGCUUGUGAUAAGCAAAAGGAAAAUUGUUAAUGGUACGCACUUUGAUACAAAUGUCAAAUUUUAUAAAAAUAUAGCAAAACAUAAGGCAUGCACAGUGGCAAAAAGAACUGAAGAGGUCGAAGUUGAACAAAAUAUACUUUUAUUAAUAAGUAUUAUAAUAUAUUAAAUAUUGUCAGGUUUUUAUGGUGCUGUUUGGCAUUGUCCAAACCGCACCACACCGAAAAAUUACCAAUUAAGGUUGGAUUGGAAUGCAUAAUUAUCAAUUUAUCCUUAAUAAGUCAUAAAUCAACAAAAAUGGCCCAACAAUUUUCUUAAUCUUAAUUGUUGCCUUUGGAUUAGAAAUCAUCAACGAUCAAGAUUGGUUCUCACAAUUCUCUAAUCUCUACUUUUAUGUUGUUUUCAUUUGAACUCAACCCAAAAAUCUCACCAGUAAUCACCACACGAACAAAUCCCGUUCUUGAAAUGAUGAAACCUAUUUGUAUCCCGAAGAAUAAUUUCCCGCUCAACAAUCUUGGAAAUAAGCUUAGCAGCAAUAUGACAAUCCUCACAAACACGUAGAUUUUUAGUAAUCCGUAUAGGCGUAAAAGCUUUAGUAUUUAUAAUCACAAACACAAUAGCAAGCUUCUCACUAUGAACAGCAAGAUGAUUUCCUUUAUCUUCAUCUUCUAUAUCAUGAAGUGCAGAAUCCACUUCAGGAACAUACCCAAAAUCCCUCAUCUUCCCCACAAGUACUUCCAACUCUUGAUAAAUCUGUUUAGAUUGUGGAUGGGAUUGAUCUCCAGCAAGAAACGAAUGAACUUGAUUAUUAAGCUCAACAUUACUAACACCGGGCUCUUUUUUCACUCCUUUUGAUUUCAUUAUUGAACGAAUAUUUGUCACAUCUUUAAAUCUACCUGCUUUUGCGUAUAUAUUUGAUAAUAAAACAUAAUACCCUGCUUGUUCAGGGACCAAUUCAAAGAGAUGAUCUGCUGCUACAAGACCAAUUUCCAUGUUGGAAUGAACUUUACAAGCACUUAACAAAGCACCCCAGAUUCUAUCGUUUGGUUUUGUUUUCAUUUUCUUUAUAAAAUCAUAAGCUUCAUUGAUUCUUCCUGAUCUUCCUAGCAAAUCAACCAUGCACGCCAAGUGUUCGAGUCUUGGAAUGAUGUUAUACUCUUCGGUCAUCAAUUUGAAGAAAUGUUUUCCUUGGUUUAGUAAUCCGGCAUGGCUGCAGGCUGAUAGAACUGGAACGAAGGAAAUGGAAUCAGGGGCGAUUCCGGAAUUUUGCAUAUUUGAAAAGACUGUGAUAGCAGUUUCACCAUCUCCAGUCAUGCCAUAAGCAGAGACCAUGGAAGUCCAGGAGACGACAUCUCUUGUUGGCAUUUCAUCGAACACCUUGCGUGCUUCGUUUAAAGACCCACAUUUAGCAUACAUGUCAAUCAAGGCGUUCUCUACUGUUAGAUUAGGAAGAAGCCUUUUUGUUUUUACAUAUGAAUGAAUCUUUCUUCCUAGUAAUAAAGCUGAAAGAUCUCCACAAGCGGGUAGGAUGCUAGCAACUGUGAUUGAAUCCGGGUCGAUUCCGUAAUUCUCCAUUUGUUGAUAAAGAUUAACUGCAUCUUUAGGCAUCGAGUUGUUGACGUACACAGCUAUCAUGACAUUCCAAGAAAUUAAACUCUCUCGAGCGUGAUUCAUGAACAUUUCUUUCAUAAACAUCACGUUGGUAGAUGAAGUAGAAGUUGUUAAAGCAGGGGAAAGGCUGGCCAUGGUGCCUGCGUUGGGUUUUGAGGUAGAACAUUGCAUCAUUGUCUUACAAAUCUCCAAUGCAUCUUCAAACAUCCGGUUUUGGGCGUAGGCAGCAACCAUAGCAUUCCAGGAGACGAUAUCUCUACUAGGCAUUUCAUCAAACACCUGGCGUCCUUCCAGUAACCGGUUACAUUUUCCAUACAUUGUAAUCAAUCCAUUCCCUACAUAAAGAUUUGAAUGCAGACCCUUCUUGAGAACAGCAACAUGGGUUUGUAAUCCGACCCACAAAUUCUCAGACACGGAACAUGCUUUUAGAACUUGAGGAACUGUAAAAUGAUCAGGGUUAAUGUUGAACUUGAACAUGUUUCUGUACAUACGAAGUGCUUUUUCGUAGAAUUCAUUGUUUACGUAGCUUCUAAUCAUCACAUUGAAGAAGACUACAUCUUUUUGAGGAAAUUCAUCAAACAGUUGGCGGGUAACUGCGAUUUGGCGACAUUCAGAAUAAGCUUUCAUUAAUUUCAGAGCAAUAUGCGAUGCUGAGACGAGGUUUCCAUCAAUAAUUAACCUACAAUGUAUCUUUUUCAAUUGUUUGAUAUCUGGGCACUUGUCCAAGAUUUUGAUACACAAGUCUUCUGUGAUUAACAUGAUUGUUAAGGCGAGAUUUGAAUGAAUUUGAACUUAUAUUCCUUUCGCCAUGUUGUACCUGAGGGGCAAUCAAAUAGAAUGGACGAAGAUAACGAAGGUUUACUUGGUGGUGUUCACUUAAAAACAAGAAAUAUGAAGUUCUAAACGCUAUUUCUUGUUAAACAGAAAAUAUUUUGUCCAAUCUAAAAAUCCAAUUUUUGAGUAAGUUCAAGCUUAAGCUCAAAAAUAGUAAGCAAAACAUGUUUAAAAAAUAAAAGUUCGUUUGAAACUCUUUGGAUAGCUCGAGUAUAACAAUCAUCAUAAUUAUAGUCAAUAAAUCAGGCUCAAACAACCAAACUUGAUGUCCAGCCCUUGAUCAUCCAAUUGCCAACUGAAAUCAACUUAGUUUCCGGUUUUAGAAUCGCCCUAACAUUACAUAAGCACCAACUAGUUCCAAAAGUAGUUUUUAAUUCAAUGUCUCCCAUACCCGUGACUUCAAGGGUUUCCAUGUUACCCAACCUUACCAACUUAAGAUAAGUUCUUUACUUCAAUUACUAUAACAGAUCGAUGAGUCAUGUUCUAAUGACCUCUCGUCAUAUGAUGCAAUGCUUAGACUCGAGUCUUUUAAAGUCAAAUUCUAUAAUGAAAUAUACAUUCCUUCAAGUUUCUAAUGUGAUAUAAUCACAUUCUAGCAUGUAUCACUUCUAGCUACAAGCUUCUUACUUUAACAACAAUCACAAUACUUCUAUUGAUCGCUUUGAUUAUCUUUCAGUUCAAUCUUCUGGCUUAAGUCAGAUGCUACAUCGAUCUUGGUUCUCUGAACCACGUACAAUACUUAUCCUAGCUGUAAUCGAUUUGAUAUGACCACUAGGGUCGGAAUAACAAUCAUCUUCUUAGUCAUUACCGAAAUUAUGGUAAUGACACAUGAACAAAACAGAAUCAAUUACUAGCGUCUUGGUAACUCGUGACUUUCCCUGAUCCAAGUGCGAGUCGUGUGCUUCCAGUAGUAUAUGCCUCUACUACCUUUCACACCUACUCAUACUUGUCCCAAGUAUUGUCUUUCAGUUCUCCAAGUCACCAUAAAAGAAUUUCACAUAGUCAUUUAACACAUCGAAUAACAAAACUAAGGUUUAUAUUAUUUCUUGAAACGAUUACAUAGAUAUUCAAGUUCACCUUAUACCAUGCCUUUUAUAUUAGGCUACACCACAUGAUACUAUCUAUAUGGCUACUUUAUAUCUCGAUCUUCAGAUAUAUAUAGAUCCCUACUCCUAAUCCCUUGUAUCGUCACCUGCUUCAUCCAGGUUAGACUUCGAGAAUCUUCCUUUCUUAUCGAAUCUUGAGGAUCCCUCAAGCUUCUUCUUUUCUCAUGCCUUGUCUUAUUCCAGACCCUUUUUCCUAAAUUAGGUUUCCAUAUUCUUGGUUGCUCUAACGGUUGUCUUCAAAGUAGUUGCCAUUUUUACCAUUGCGCCAAAUUAUGCUGGCAAUCCGUUAGCAAAACUAUCUAUCUUGGAGAGUUCAGUAGCACCAAGUAGGGGAAUAACUUCAUCUGCUCGGUGAAUACGGUGACAUACUCAUCAACACUCAUCUUCCUUUUCUUCAAGUUCGAAACUCGUUGUUUAGGUCUAUCAGAUCUAUCUCUGAGCAGUAUUGCAUUUUCAACUGCUCCAUGAAUGCUUCCCACCUCAGGGCUUCUCCCCCAUGGCUUUGUAUCUGCCAAUAACUUCCACCAACUUAAAACUCUGGUCUUUAGUUGUCUGACUGUAAAGACGGUUUUCUGCUUGUUGCUGCAAUUGCAACUUUCAAAUGUCAUCUCUAUCUCGGAGAUCCAAUCCAUGAUCUCUACUGGCUUCGGGCUUCCAGAAAGACUUGGUGGUUUGGCACCUAAGAAGUUCUUAUACAUACGUUCAUCCUUAUCAAUCGCUUUUUUCGGGUCGUUCCUCCUUGCCACUCGGGGUUCAGCUUGACUCACUGUACGACUGUAAUUUCCCUCCUCCGACAAUUCUUCAUUCAGUUCGGGUUGCACGAUAGGCACAAUAGGUUCAUCCCUAUUAUCAAGAAACAUUUUUCUCAUCUCCUCCCUUUGUUCGGCCAUCAUAGCCCAAAUCAUUGCUUAGACUCUUGCCAUCGUGAUUGGCUCGGGUGCAGCUACUACCUCUGGUGCACAUUUAAUCACUCGUGGUUCAGGCUGUUAGUUUUCAUUAGCAUUUUCUAAUAUGUUGCGAGUUCUCACCAUUUCGAUCUAUACACUCUAGAGAUGUUCAGUGUACAGUGACGAGAAUUAAGAUAUGGAAAGCUUUAUUUACGACAGCCAUAUAAAUCUUCUUAUCACUCGUAAAAGUUAUAUACUAGUUCUAAUACCGUAAUUAAAUGUUUGGAAAUUUUGAGCAAAUGACGGUUCAUCAACAAUAGAGCGAAUCUCAUUUAGGAAUUCGUUGAUAGGUCGAUUUCCUUUAGGAUUUUUAGCAAGUUUGGAUUUUAAAGAGAUGAUUCUUGAGCAGGAGGUGCUGGCAUAGCUUGUGUUGAGAUGCUUUCAUGCUUCUUUUGUGGUAAAUACAGAGGUAAUGAUAGGUUGAAUGAAUUGCAUCUGAGCAUGAACCAAGAAUUGCAUCGAAUACUACAUGAUCUUGGCGAUAGCAAGUCGUGUAUUCAUGAUUAGGUUUGGAUUUGUCUUUGUCGAUAAUGAAUUUUGUGGUAGGAUCAGUCACCCAUGUGAUGUAAUCUUCCAGACCUAGUCCAAUAAAUGUGGACUGCACUUGUCGCCUCCAUACAUGGAAGUUGUUGGUGAGUAAUUUGGUAGGAAAGUGACUUGAGGCGGUGAUUUGUAUUUGGGAUGAUUGUGUCAUGGUGAUGUUGAUGAAAAGGAUUAGAGGAGAAAGGCAAGAUGAUCGAUUGACUCUUUAGAGUGUGUGUGCUCUGAUACGAUAUGAGAUUUGAGAAUCAAUGGGCUCGAAUGAAUAAUUUCAUUUACAAAGAUCGAUACAUAUAUAGAUGGUAACGAGAGUUAAAGAGCUAUACAUGGAAUUUACUAAGAAUAGAUUGCAAUUACAUACAAAUAGAAGAGAUUAUUGUAGAUUAGUCAUGAAGAUGUGUACGAUGUUAUAGUUAGAUUGCUUAUUUGCAAUCCAUGUUAGCUAAGUAUGUCAUGUUGAAUACAAAUUGUAUUAAAACAUUAAAGUUCCAACCAUUAUAUGUUGAAGAAGAAGCAAAUACGCCUUAGUCACACCCAUUCUAAAUGAUAUGGAUGUUAUGGUUGUCGUUUCUAUGCAACCAAAUCGUGAUUCCAAGUUGCAGUUGUCUUACCAAUAUAUCAUGUUAGGAAAAGAUGACAUAGCAUGAAAUAUUGUAUGUUACAACAAAAAGAUAUAUCUUAUAGAUGUCUUGCACAUGGGUUAUUCCUUUUUAAGCACUUAUAUAAAAAUAAUAUCACGUAUGUAUGAUAUCUAUUUUGAGAGAUUUUUAGCAAGCAACUCUUUGUCUAUUAUUGUUAUUGGAUAGAAAAAGUAUCAUCUUCGUUGGGAAGAUUUUACUAGGAUUAGAUUCAUAAUAGUUUGUCAAAGAUUUUACUAUUAUGUAUUUAUAAACCCAUGAAGUUUUCUAUUAAAUAAAUAAAUAAAUAACCAUUCACCAUUUAUAUCUUUUUGGAAUAGAGUUUGUUAAAUUCUAAUAUAAAUAAAAAGAGUAUUUAUUUAGAUUCACACAUUACAAAAUUACAAACUCCAAGCAUAAAUCCGAAACUUAUUUUUAAACUUCUUCAUUUAUAUUACAAGUUUUAUUCUUUUUUCCCAACCCACUUGGGGUUUCGAAACCCUAAAAAAGUUCUAUCCAUGGAAGUUCAUAUUUAUUUCUUAUCUUAAUGAAUUUAAGGUCUAAAUCAAUAAAUGGCAAUGUAGAAUUAACCGCAUAUAUUAAGUUAUUUUUGGAAGCUUUCCAACACAACACAGAAAGGAAAUGAUGAGAAUUUAUGGUACCAAAUAACAAAAUAAUCCCGGUUCCUAUAAAAAUUUAUUAAAGCUCUACUCAUGAUUUCAUAAUCUCCUCUAAUAUGAGGGUUACGUUAUUGUAAUAAUAACUAUGAUAAUGUAAAAGCCAUAACAUAAAUCGUCUUAAUUUAAGAAAUAAUAUAAAUCCCAAGAUAUUGUUUUUAAAAUAAAAAGGAAAAAAGUGGGAGUCCAUUAGAAGGAGCCAAGCUGAUUAUUUGAGCCAAGAGAGCACCGAUUUGUUAUCCUUCCACUGUUCGAAGCGAGAGGUUAUCGCAGCUCUGUGAAGCCAGCCUAACGCAUUGCCCUCUGCUCUAGGAACCAAGAAGCCCAAGCCUUCGCUCAAGCCACUUGAUCCAACUCCGAACUUGGAACGGGCAAACCAGAUUUUGCAACAGCUUUGACCCAACCAAACAAGGCUCGAUCUCAGUCCAUCCCACUUUAGAGCCCUCACUUGAGUCACAAGCUCGC